CGCCGGCGGCUUUUCUCUCGCACUGUCGUUACGAUAACUUAUGUAAUUUUUUUUUGUACCGUGUCACCGACGACCAUCACACACGACGCCACGUCACGUACAGUUCAACUCUGUCCGCCCUCCUCUCGUACCGGCAAUCAACUGCGUACUUCUUUCACCACCACUCCACAAUCGCGACCGGACUGUCGCGGACGGACACACCAGCAACCAUAGCCCGUGUCAAAUUGAAUCAUCUCCUAGCGAAAACAUUCCAAAAAAUGAAAAUAAAAGGAAAUAAUGGCUAAAAAUCUUCAAAUCAAAUCAUUACUCAAUUUCAUCCGGCAUAGAAUCUGCGGUAAUCAUUUCGCAAUCAGUGAUUAUAAACAAGGCUCGGUUAAUCAGUAGGUAUAAUGGCCAGUCAAAACAUAAUCCAAACCACUUGUCUGGGAUAGAGAAGGAAAAUAGAUGUAAAUCAUUUACAGCAACACUGGUACUACUCUGAGGCCUGAGCACGGACCAGUAAAUUGGAAAGAGAAAAUUGUGUUUCUCCAACAAUGAGUUCAAAGAAUAUGAACAUAUAAAUAAAGGAUUUGGAGACAUUACCGAUGAUGAUUUUAGUUCGCCCAGAAAAGGCUUAGAAAAUUAAUAAUGUCUAAUUCACAGACCCUUAUUUCAUACAUUGGAUUAUACUUAUAAAACUGAAAUAUAUGAUGUACCACAUACAAGGAAGUCGAUCCAAUGUAUUGACAAUUUUUCAGACAUUGACUUUCUUGAAGAUAAUUCUGCCGGUUCAGACGAAGCCAUUAAU